rnacentral:rRNA from 1 species
CCUACGGUAGGCUGCAGUGGGGAAUAUUGGACAAUGGGCGAAAGCCUGAUCCAGCCAUGCCGCGUGUGUGAAGAAGGCCUUCGGGUUGUAAAGCACUUUCAGUGGGGAAGAAAGCCUUGGGGCUAAUACCCUCGAGGAAGGACAUCACCCACAGAAGAAGCACCGGCUAACUCCGUGCCAGCAGCCGCGGUAAUACGGAGGGUGCGAGCGUUAAUCGGAAUUACUGGGCGUAAAGCGCGCGUAGGCGGUCUGAUAAGCCGGUUGUGAAAGCCCCGGGCUCAACCUGGGAACGGCAUCCGGAACUGUCAGGCUAGAGUGCAGGAGAGGAAGGUAGAAUUCCCGGUGUAGCGGUGAAAUGCGUAGAGAUCGGGAGGAAUACCAGUGGCGAAGGCGGCCUUCUGGACUGACACUGACGCUGAGGUGCGAAAGCGUGGGUAGCAAACAGGAUUAGAUACCCUUGUAGUC